UGCCCUGCCCACACACACAUACACACACACACACACACACACACACACACACACACACGGGGCCACAGUGCCAGUCUGGGUGCCAGCUGCCGCGCGCUGAGGGCCUGGCGUGGUCGGUGGCCGGUUCCUGUGUGACUCCCGUGACUCCCCGUGACUCUCCGUGGCUUUCCGUGACUCUACCUUCCCUCCGUGUGCCCCUAAAGUGUGGCUAAGCUGUGCGCGUACUCGUGACUCCGGUGCCCUGUUGAGAUUGGUUGAGUCACCCUUCGAACCCCCUCAAUCACCUCCGUUCUCUGUAACCCAAAAUUCCUGUUUGCCUAAUUUCUUUCGUCUUUGCUACACGACGUUGGAUACUGAAGAAGGGAAGAGGUUUAUAUGUUUUGCUUCCCUCUUAGUCUUCAUCAUUGUCGUUGGUCCUACUCUUCCUCCUCUUCUUCCGUCUUUCCUUCCUCUUUUGUCUUCUCUAAACGGGAUAUGAGCGUCUGUUACGAAGACUUUGAAGAGUGAAGAGAGAAGAAAAAUUAGAGGACUUGAAUAUAUUGUUACUUCUACUACUACUACUACUACUACUACUACUGGUUCUACUACUUCUACUAUUACUCCUACUACUGCUACUUCCACUACUUCCUCCGGUUACUACUGCGACUACUACUACUGCUACUACAAUUACUGCAACUGCUACAUCGCUUUGGAUAUUAAUUGAAAGUCUGAUACAAGAAGAAAGGACAGACAUGAAGUGACGAAAGAGAAGAACAGAGAAAAAAAAGAGAAACGGAGAGAUAGAAAAAGAGAAAUGGGGGAAGAAACGAAAUAUUGUGAAAAUUGCAAGAAGGAAGUCUCCACCACCAACUUCACCGUCCACACCGUUCACUGUCACCGCAACAUCGCCAUCUGUCCGCUGUGCAAGGAGCCCGUGCCGCGUUCCACCUACCAAGACCACCUGCAGAGCGAACACAAGGAGGUGCGCUGCCCAAAAUGUGGAGUCGAGAUGGAACCAGUGCGCAUUUACACUCAUGAGAAGAAUGAGUGCCCCAAACGACUCAUCGCCUGCAAGCACUGCGAGCUGGAGGUGACGGCGAGCGAGCUGCAGAAACACAUUGAGUACUGCGAGGCGCGGACGGAACGGUGCAAGGGCUGCACCAAGUAUGUGCAGGUCAAGCACCUCCAGUUCCACUACGCCAAUGACCACCGCUACCUCAGGCCAGAGGAUAAAGCCGGCCGGAGUGGUUCAGACGAUGAGGGCAGCGAGGAGUGCCCCAUCUGCCUGGGCCCCUUCACGCUGCCGCUGGCCCUGGAGUGCGGCCACACCUUUUGCAUGGUCUGCGUCAAGGGCAUCGCCAACACCACCAAGAACUGUGCCAUCUGCCGCCGAGAUAUACCCAGAGACAUGCUGAUGGACGUGAGGUUCUGCCGCGAGGAGGACAUCAUUAAGAACUAUGUCAAUAAGCCAAGGAAGAAGAACACGAGGAGCCACAGUGUCCCCAACCGCUCCUCGUCCUCCCCCUCCACCUACACCACCACCACCACCACCACGCCCACCCGCAGGCUCGUCCACCACACCACGCAGGACUAUGACGACAUGGUCAACGCUCUCCUAUCCUCCCGCACCUCCUCCACCUCCUACAGAUACCAGCGCCCCGCCAACACCCACACCCCACCCUCCUACACCCCCUACUCCACCUCCACCACUUCCUCCACCACCACCACCACCACCUCCUCCUCCUCCUCCUGCCAAGACUCCUGCCAAGACUCCUGCAAGCCUGAGAAGGAGAGUAACACAAAUGAUGAUUGCUGUUGCUCCUCCUCCUCCUCCUCUUCUUCCCAUUCCACCCCGUCUUCCUCCCCAUCCUCCUCCUCUUCCUCCUCUACCACCACGACGACCACCACGGCCUCCACUCGACCUAUCACCACUACCCGCUCCUCCUCCUCCACUUCCACCUCUUCCCCCUCCUCCUCCACUCCAAGAACCACGACCACCACCACUGCAAGAACCACCACAGCCUCCACCAGACCGCAGACCUCCACCUCCCCCUCCUCCUCCUCCUCCUCCUCCUCUUCCACCUCCUCCUCCACCUCAUCCUCUCCCAACGGUGCUCGCCCUCGAAGACCGACCUCGCUCGCCCUUGAGACUAUGGCGACUUUGAGCUCUCUUUCCAACGCCACAAGUCCCUCUCGAGAUGAAGAAAACAAGCGGACGCGACCCCCAAGGAACGCCACGCAGGAGCAGUAUGACCGGUGGCUCGCCUUCCAGCUGGCCAAGGCGGAGGACGACCUUCCCGCUGAGGAGUUCAACAGGAAGCACCGGCCCACGACCUUCAAGCGCUCCCAGUCCAUGCCAGAGAGACCGGAAACCUCAUCAAGCAGUGAAAGUGAUUCCGAGGACUCAGACGGCCCUUCCUCCUCCACCCGACGCAGCACCCGACGCCCCCCCGCCUCCCCCAGACACCCCGCCUCCUCCUCCUCCUCCUCCUCGGCCUCCUCCUCCUCCUCCACCACGCCCAUCAGCAAGUCCUCCAGCGACUCCAACGCGACCAGCAGCGGCAGCAGCGUCCUGAGCACCGGCGCGCGGCCCAAGAACACGAGGCUCAAGAAACGGGUGUCAUUUAGGGAGGAGACGACUCCCGUGCGUCGCGAGGCCCCCGUGCUGCUGCCGUGUGAGUUUUGCGACGAGAUGUUCCCCGAGCGUGACCUCAUGCGGCACCAGACCAGCUGCGAGAAGAACGAGACCCAGCUGCCGCGCGCCUCCCGCCUCACGCCGCGCCCCACGCCCGUCGGCAGCCCCACCACCUUCAGCCCCUCCUCCUCCACGUCCUUCAUCCCCUCCUCCUCUUCCUCCUCCUCCUCCUCAGUCGUCAGCCCCUCCUCCUCCACCACCUUCAGCCCCCGUACCCCUGCCGCCCCCGCCGCCCCCGCCACCCAAGCCACCCCAACCUCCCGUCCCGCCCUCACCUCCACGCCCCGACGCACCCCAGCCAGAACGGAGAGCAGGGAAAGCCCCGCCCCAGCCCCUGCCCCACGGAGGAGCCCCCCGCUCAGCCCCCCGCCCACAUCCGCCACGCCGCCCCCCGCCACCAUCACCAUCGUGGACCGGCCCCCCCAGCCCCCCUCCGUGGUGGUGUCGGCGGCCAACGCGCGGCCGUUCAGCGAGUCCCCGGCACCCAGCGCCUCCACCAGCAGCGCCUCCGUCUGCACCUCGCCCUCCACCAGCAGCUCGGCCUCGCCGGUGCCCGCCCCCGCCUCCGCGCCGCCCGACACGCCCACGACGGACGCCGAGCUGGACCUGGAGGAGGACACGCCCUACAUGCGCCCCCGCCGCGGCCGCCUGCUGUCCUCCGCCAUCUUCUCCUGGCGCAGCAUCUCCGCCACGGGGGCCGCCUCCCGCCGCGGCUACGUCCGCUCCAACACGGCGCCGCUGGAGGACACGGGCGUGGACGAGGACGAGGACGCCGCCGCCCCGCCCGUCCUCACCAGCAUGUCCGCCACGCAGCUGCCGCCCACCUCCAAGAGCCCCGAGCCCGCCGCCUCCCCCGCGCCCACACGCCGACACGCGCCCUCCCCGCCCCCCGCCACGUCCCCCACGGCACGCAGGAAGGCCCCCUCCCCGCCCAGGCCGCAGCCCCCAGCCUCUCCCCCGCAGCCCCAGGAGCAGCAGCGCCCCGAGUCUGUCUUCAUCAAGAACCCCAACAAGUACCGCGCACCACCGCCACCACAGCCACAGACACAACCACAGACACAGCCACAGCCACAGACCAAACCCACGGAAGCACAGCCACAGACAACACAGCCACAGCAAACACAGACUAAACCUCAAGUACCACCACCACCACCACAGCAACAACAACAGCAACAACAGCAAGAACGAACUAAACACACCUCUAUCUCCUCCUCCACCACCUCCCUCGCCUCCAUCACCUCCUCCCGCAAGGCCGCCGCCCCCCAGCCCCCCACGCAGAAGCAGGGCGAAGUGAAGGUCGAGGGGAAGGUCGAGGGGAAGAGCGAGAGCAAGCAGGUCAAUGGGUUCCGCUUCGAUAGCCAGCCAAUGAUGAAAGGCGUGGUGGAGGACGGAAUACCUUGUGAGUUUUGCAGCAAGGUGUUACCGAGGAGCAAGUUUCAAAGCCACCAGAACAUGUGUGAGGCGACAACUAGACCACCAACCCUUCGCCCAACAUCCCCUGGACCGGCGGAAAAGACCAACAGACCCGCCCCGCCCGUGGAUAAGCCCGAGAAGGCCCGAAGCCCCAUCCCUGCCAGACACAAGAAGGGUCCCGCACCGCCCCCGCCCCCGGUCGAAGAGCCCAGAGAGAGAGAAACAUCGAAGUCCAAGGAGUCAUCGAAGUCCACCAAAGAGUCAUCGAAGUCCACCAAGGAGUCGAAGUCCACAAAGAACGAUGAGAGAGCAAAGAGAGAAUCGUCACCCCUUAGAAAUAGAAUGGAAAGGUCCCACUCCGUUAUGGACGAGCGAGUGUGCUACAGCGAGAAGGUCCGCCUCAACAGACACCUCACCAGGACCAACAGCAUCAAGGAGUCCAGUUCGCGGGGCAGCCUGUACAAGGAGGCGGCGCAGCGGGCUCAGAGGUCCUACUACAGCCCUAGCCCGAGCCUCUCCCGAAGGUGGAGCUCCCGAGAAGUGGUCCACGGCAACAAUAUUGACUCUUCGUCGUCUUUCUCGACCAACUGCUGGAGUGGAAGUAGCAGUAACCUCUAUACCGGGUCCUCCUAUACCUCCUCCACCCCGUACUCCUCGUCAGGGUACUCCGCAGGGCACGGUUGGAGCGGCGCGGGGUCACAUUUCCUGCUGCGGGAUGAUGUGAGGUCAGGGUCAAGCAGCGGGGUUAGAUACACUGGGUCAUCUUCGGCUUCUUGUUCUGCUGCCGCCGCCGCCGCCGCCGCUGCCGCCUCCUCCUCCAGUUAUUACGGUGGUCUCAGGUACAGGGAGCGGAGCGUGAGCCGCGCCAGACCCGCCUCGCUCUACACCACCAGUGACACCUGGGGCUCCCUCAUGGACUUCCACUCCCCCACGCGUCAGUUCAACAUCACGGACACUUUCUCCUCUGCCUCCCUGGCGUACAAGAGUCGAUACCUUCGCUAGGCCGCUAACACCAGCAUGAGACAACCACUCCACUGCUUUCUCUACCGUCUGUCACCUUCCGACUAAGAGACCGAGCAAAAAAUACAGGGCGCCGCAACCCCCCUGCAGGAGCACCUAACACACACACGAACACACACACACACACACACACACACACACACACACACACACACACACCUGAAGGGCCGCCAGUGAAGGAAGGAAGGAAGGAAGGAGGGAUGAAUGGCCAAAAGAACAAGAGGAAAGAAGACUGGAAGGAAGGAAGGAAGAAAGGAAGGAAGGAAGAAAGGAAGGAAGGAAGGAAGGAAGGAAGGAAGGAAGGAUUGUAAGAUAGAAGUAUAGAACGGAUGAAAGAAAACAAGAAUAGAAAGAAAGAGAGGAAAGAAGAAAAGAAAAAAAGGAAGGAAAAAAAUGAUGGUGAGAUGACAAGAAAGAUGGAGGCGAAGAGAAGAAAAAGAAGAAUACGAGAAUGAAUGAAAUGAAUAAAAAAUGAAAGAAUUGAUGAAUACAAAUUGAAUGAAGAAAGAAAUCCACGAAGGUAGAAAACAAAAUUGGAAAACAUAAAUGACAACGUAAGAAGAAGAGGAAAGAAGGAAAGAUAGAGAGGAAAAAAAUAGAUAGAAGAUGAAAAGAAAGAGAAGGAUGGUAAAAAGAUGUAAGGAGAAAAAGAACGAGAGGAAGAAAGAGAGGGAGACAUAUAUUAGAAAAAAAGAAGAAAAGAGAGAAGAAAGAGACGUGAGAAGUGAAAGAUUGGAGGGAAAAAGAAAUUGGACGAGAAACGAAGCGAAGAGAAAGGAGAAAGGAAAAACGAGACAACAAAGAAAUCUGAUAAAAUGGAAGCAGGACAAAAAGACAUAAAAACACAAAA